GAUAUGAUUUGUGCAUCCGUAAUAACAAGCUAUUUAAAUGUGAACGCACAGCAAAAUUUCUGUAGUUUCAUAUUGUCUCGUCACAAUUUACACCAUGAAAACAAGUGUUGCUGUUAUAAUUCUGCUCGUUUGCCUUUCGGGCAUGAUAAUGAACCAAACAGAAGGGAAAAAAAUAACCUGUAAAUGGGGAGGAUGUCCGGUUAACUUAGCUUGUGGCCUCUGUUGUGAACACUUCAGGCCAGGCUGCAAUGGUGGGACGUGUAAGGGACUGCUUGAUCUGAGAUGUGAAUGUGAUUGUCCUUCUGGAUAAAAAAGACGAUCCAAGAUAUACAAAAGAAGGAUUCGAUGUAAACGUUAGAUUUGUAAAUUGAUUUUAACUCUUAGAUUAUGAAAAAGAGAAGACGUUAUUAGUUAGUAAAUUGUUUGUGAUCCUUAUUUUGUAAUUGUUCAAAUAAAAUAGAUUUGGAAUACAUAA